GAUGAACGCUGGCGGCGUGCCUAAUACGUGCAAGUCGAGCGAACGGACGAGAAGCUUGCUUCUCUGAUGUUAGCGGCGGACGGGUGAGUAACACGUGGAUAACCUACCUAUAAGACUGGGAUAACUUCGGGAAACCGUAGCUAAUACCGGAUAAUAUUUUGAACCGCAUGGUUCAAAAGUGAAAGACGGUCUUGCUGUCACUUAUAGAUGGAUCCGCGCUGCAUUAGCUAGUUGGUAAGGUACGGCUUACCAAGGCAACGAUGCAUAGCCGACCUGAGAGGGUGAUCGGCCACACUGGAACUGAGACACGGUCCAGACUCCUACGGGAGGCAGCAGUAGGGAAUCUUCCGCAAUGGGCGAAAGCCUGACGGAGCAACGCCGCGUGAGUGAUGAAGGUCUUCGGAUCGUAAAACUCUGUUAUUAGGGAAGAACAUAUGUGUAAGUAACUGUGCACAUCUUGACGGUACCUAAUCAGAAAGCCACGGCUAACUACGUG
rnacentral:rRNA from 1 species